GGCAUCGUGAUAGGACACCACAAAGUCAUUAAUUACGCCACAUGUGCACGAUAAGGUCCACCGCCAUGACCACCAACAUGCCGAACAAAAGACAUGCCCCCUGAUGGGGCCAUUUAAAGAUGCCCCCAUGCGGCUCCGUAUGAUUGGAUAUUGUUGGAAUAUAUUUUCAUCUUUUCAUCUUUCAUCCCGCUCUCUUUAUAAAUGGAGGUAAGAGAAGACCCCC
rnacentral:lncRNA from 1 species